GAAUGGGGAAACCCAGUGUGAUUCGUCACACUAUCAUUAACUGAAUCCAUAGGUUAAUGAGGCGAACCGGGGGAACUGAAACAUCUAAGUACCCCGAGGAAAAGAAAUCAACCGAGAUUCCCCCAGUAGCGGCGAGCGAACGGGGAGGAGCCCAGAGCCUGAAUCAGCAUGUGUGUUAGUGGAAGCGUCUGGAAAGGCGCGCGAUACAGGGUGACAGCCCCGUACACAAAAGCGCAUGUGCUGUGAGCUCGAUGAGUAGGGCGGGACACGUGGUAUCCUGUCUGAAUAUGGGGGGACCAUCCUCCAAGGCUAAAUACUCCUGACUGACCGAUAGUGAACCAGUACCGUGAGGGAAAGGCGAAAAGAACCCCGGCGAGGGGAGUGAAAAAGAACCUGAAACCGUGUACGUACAAGCAGUGGGAGCACCC
rnacentral:rRNA from 2 species